AAUUCAGAAUUAAUAUUGUAACAUAGACCUAAAAAAUCUAUAAAACAACUUUUAACAACGGAUCUCUUGGUUCUCGCAUCGAUGAAGAACGUAGCAAAGUGCGAUAACUAAUGUGAAUUGCAUAUUCAGUGAAUCAUCGAGUCUUUGAACGCAACUUGCGCUCAUUGGUAUUCCAAUGAGCACGCCUGUUUCAGUAUCAAAAC
rnacentral:rRNA from 1 species